rnacentral:rRNA from 1 species
CAUAGGUUAACGAGGCGAACCGGGGGAACUGAAACAUCUAAGUACCCCGAGGAAAAGAAAUCAACCGAGAUUCCCCCAGUAGCGGCGAGCGAACGGGGAGCAGCCCAGAGUCUGAAUCAGCUUGUGUGUUAGUGGAAGCGUCUGGAAAGUCGCACGGUACAGGGUGACAGUCCCGUACACGAAAAUGCACAGGUUGUGAACUCGAAGAGUAGGGCGGGACACGUGGUAUCCUGUCUGAAUAUGGGGGGACCAUCCUCCAAGGCUAAAUACUCCUGACUGACCGAUAGUGAACCAGUACCGUGAGGGAAAGGCGAAAAGA